GCGCCUAUAGCUCAAUCGGUUAGAGCAACCGACUCAUAAUCGGUGGGUUCCAGGUUCAAGUCCUGGUGGGCGCA
rnacentral:tRNA from 5 species